rnacentral:rRNA from 1 species
GACGUAGGGCGCGAGCGUUGUCCGGAUUUAUUGGGCGUAAAGAGCUCGUAGGCGGCUUGUCGCGUCGACUGUGAAAACUCGGGGCUCAACUCCGAGCUUGCAGUCGAUACGGGCAGGCUAGAGUUCGGUAGGGGAGACUGGAAUUCCUGGUGUAGCGGUGAAAUGCGCAGAUAUCAGGAGGAACACCAAUGGCGAAGGCAGCUUGCUGGGACGGUACUGACGCUGAGGCGCGAAAGCGUGGGGAGCAAACAGG